CCUAAAUCAUUCUAUAACAACUAAACAAUUCAAUAACCAAAAAACAUAAAAUUUUAUAAAAGUAAACUUUAAUUGAAGGCUCCACGUCAAUUAAUGUUCUUUUUUUUUUUUUUUUUUUUUUGUUGUUUUUUUUUUUUCUUUUUUUUUUUUUGUUUUUUUUUUUUUUUUUUUUUUUUUUUUUUUUUUUUUUUUUUUUUUUGUGUUUGUGUUUUUUUGUUUUUUUUUUUUUUUUUUUUUUUUUUUUUUUUUUUUUUUUUUUUUUUUUUUUUUUUUUUUUUUUUUUUGUUUUUUUUUUUUUUUUUUUUUUUUUUUUUUUUUUUUUUUUAUUUUGUUUUUUUUUUUUUUUUUUUUUUUUUUUUUUUUUUUUUAUUUUUUUUUUUUUUUUUUUUUUUUGUUUUUUUUUUUUUUUUUUUUUUAGCCAACCAAUUAAAGUUUUGAAAGUGACAUAGAAUUUAUAACUAACCGAAAAAUUCAUAAAAUUUACCAAAGAUAUCACUAGAGUUCAUAACCAAUCCAUUCAUAAAAAAACAUCUCAAUAACACUAGCCACCACAAUUCAUACUACCAAUCAAUACAUCAUAAAAACAAGUUAACGUGUUAUUUUAGUUACCAUUAUUCGUGAUGAAUUGAGGAGAGCAAUUUAAAAAGUUCUCAUCUAAUAACCAUUGAACUGGAUUUGACCAUGCACUUUAAAUAGGAACGGGGGAGGGAGCAUAGAGCCCCGCUAGAAAUAUAGCCCUAAGUAGUCAAUAUAGAAAUGUUUUAGUUUAUGGUGAGCAAUUAUCUCUGUUCAUUCUGGAAAAUUCUACAAAAUUUCGGUGGGGUCGUUUGAUGCUCUGCAUCUCUUGUUUUAACAAAUACUAACACAUCAAAAUUUUUUGUGGCAAGGGAAGGGCAGAGUACUUUCGACCAAUAUGCUUGUCUGAAUACUGGCGUUACUUCCAUGCCCCUGAUUGCAGCAGAAAAUAAACAUAAGUUAUGUGAAUAUGUGGAAGUUAAAGGCCAUUUCUCCAGUUUCAAACGAAUUCUAGUGCUAGAGGACGAAUGAAAUGCCCUACUUCAUUGCAGUUACGAAAUGCUAAAGGUAGUAAUUGAUCUAAACACUAACAGAAUUAUUGGUAGAAUAUUGAGAUGUAUGUGACAUAGUCCUAGAUUCUCGUACAAAGUAUUGCUAUUUAUCCCUCAACUCGAUUCAGACUCAAGAUUCAGAAAUAACGUUGAACAUCUCUAGUAAAAAGGUUCCUUCCACCCAUUCCCCUUGAUGCUCCGGAUUUGUGGAGCCAAAUGGGCUAGGAGGCCACAUUGAAGAUGUUACCCCCAUCUCUUCCAUCAUUUCCACCACAACUUUCCAGCGAUGGGCGGUCCCAUUGGGUACCACUGUACUUCACAAAGUUCCCUCUUUAGUUUUCUUACAAUCUUGGCUCCACGUCUUCCUCAUCUGAAUGGCUAGCUCUCCUCCUUAUCCAAACAGUUUGUAGAGCAAGUCGGGAAAGUAUGCUUGGCUUGUGUCUGUGCAGCUGCGUUCUUCCUCCCUCCAAUCUAUUUCUAGCAACAGCAUUCCAAAACUAUCUACAUCGGAUUUGGUAGGAUACUUCCAAAGUUCCUAGAGAAUCACUUUCGGUGCACUAUAGCCCACGGGGCCUCCUCGCAGCCGCAUGAUACGGCACUUUGUUCGCUUUGAACACACUUUGCCUAGGCCAAAAUCAGAGAUCUUUGGGUUAAACUUGUGGUCCAACAAUAUGUUAUGAGGUUUAAUAUCAAAGUAACAAUCCGUGAUCGAGCCUACGGAAGGUAAGUCAUACCUGCUAUACCAAGAGCAAUAUCUUGCAGCUUCUCCACCAAGGUAACGCCUUUCAUGGUCAAAGAUAGGAAGUUUUCGAGUGAUUGUUUGGGAAGAGCAUAAAUGAGCUCUUUCGAACUCAUCUGGACAGUAUCCUACCAAGGCGAACCACAUUGAUAUGGUGGAUUCUACCCAUUGUUCCCACUUCAUUGAUGAACGCAUCCCCUUCCCUUGCACACUGUUUGAGGAUCUGACAUCAAAAUGAACACUCACUGGAACGUCUUUCCCUUGUACACGUUCCAAAACUCCUUUCGCCGCCGGUGUCGGUGAAACGGAGCGUAGUUGUCCUUCAAUAUCUGCCUAAGAGUAUCUUGACGGCUUUAGACGUCGUAAUCCUCCAAACAUCGUGGGUAAGGGCACUGGCUGCCUCUUUCUUUAUUUUGCUUGAUCUGUAGACACAAUACAUUCCAACGACAACUCACAACAAAAGAGGAGAGACCCAGCACCAACCUGCAAUUCAAAAUUUCAAAAAUCUACCAGUGAAGAAAAGGCUGUCCUCCUCAUCAACUGAUAAUUGAAAUUAAUGGUGGGUAGAAACUUCACCGGCAACCUGUAGUUUCCUCGUCGGAUCUGUAAAAGUUUGAAGACUGUUACGGCGCCAGCUUGGGAAGUUCAUUAACUUAUCAUGUUUUUAUAGCAAACAAGAAAAGAUUGGCCAAUUAAACCAAAGAAGUCCAUCAACAAGUCUCUUAACGUGAAGUCCUUACGUAAAAAGACAAUAUGGGUUCAACAGAGAGCCUCAGAUAGAUGCCAAGACUAAACAAGAAGUUGCAUCAUGCUUGCCGAGAACAUUCUGUUCCAAUAUGGAUUUGUUCUAAAGAUAGUCAAGAGUGUAGGAAACUAGAAACAGCAAGAAUAGUACCUUUCGUUGGUAGUUUUGGGCUCUCAAAGCAUGCAGUUUCAGGUUCCGUGCUGUUUAGUCCGUCAUUCUACAAUACGUGCCGCCUGCUUUCACAGUUCCCACAAGUCGCUUUGGUCCAAUUCAAUAUAAGAAUACUCAAAAUGUCCGAUUGUCAAGAUGACAAUGGAAGUGCAUGUCAGAAAUCGUCCUGCAAGUGCUAGGGCACAUGGAAGAAAAUUGGGCAUAACUUUGUGAGUGGGGUCGCCAAGGCAAGCAAGCGAAGCCGAUAGUAAGGCUAUUUUCUUUCUGGGGGAAGUUGAUAUUUAGAACAAGUGAGGACGCUAAAUUUUCUGUAGUUAGUACCGGGAUCUGUGGAAUGGGAGUAGUAAUCUAUUGCUGAAUGGAAUGGAUAGAUAAACGGAGGGUGUUGACAAAGAGUCUUGGGAACCAUGGGGCUUAGAGACUAUAUCUUCUGAAUUUGUAGUUGAUUUUGUUGACCGAUACCAUUGACGGCAAUGGGAGCUUCAAGCCCAGGUGGUUUGCCUUUUAUCCGUUACAGAAAGAUCAGCCGGAUAGCCACAGUGCUUGGCUGAUGCUCUUUUAUCCGGAAAGGAAAGCGGAUUGUUGGCCUGGUUUUUUCCUUCACCUGGUGGCCAUGCACUUCUCAUCCGCUUGUUCUGUUACUGACAUAGUAUUUGCCUUGGAAUGAGGAGGAGGAGGGCAGGAAGACGAAUUGGGAGUAGGCAUCUUGGUUGGUAUUGUCUCGACAGAGAUAAAUGAGCUCGAGGAAGGUAAGUUUCACAAUUUCCUUUGGAGAAACAAACUAUUUUAGCUUAGCUGAGUGCGCAAUCAUUUCAGAUCCACUUUAACUUUUGUUGGGCAAUCAUUUCAGACUAAAAGUAUCGCUGCAACUGUUUCAGCACGAUAAGGCUGACUUUAACUUGACUUGGCAAUAAUUUCAGAUCAAAACUUUGUUAGCCACAUUUUAGUCUUGUGCAUCCAUUCCACAAGGUGGGUAGGGAGUCAUGAUUUUUGUCUUCUUUCGGUUCUUCUAAUUAGUAUUCGUGAUUUCGUUCCUUUGUUAAGCAGAAUUGUGGAAAGUUCAGCGAAAGGCUGCUCUUUGCCCUGUUCUGUGCCCUGUUCUUGUAACUUGCCAUGGAAAGAAAAAAUCGGUACAGUUCUUGCGGAGAAUAUCCAUAACAUCAGCUUCCCCUUUCGACUGAAAACCGACCAGAUGAUAUCUGGGGGAAAUGCGGAUUUUGAUUUUCUUGCGAGAACAACCCGUACAGUACGAACGGUAACCUUGAGAAAAUACUACGUGCAGGCCAUCGACUACAACAACAACACAAUUCGCCUCGUCGCUGUAGGCAUACGGGCAAAGAUUGUUCCACUCUUCCUCUCGAUUAAAUCCUGUCAACAAGACUUCAUAGGCUAUGAUUUGAUUAUUACGACGGUGAUACAUUGGAGAACCAAAAGCUAUUAUUAUUAUUAUUCUUACUUGGCUGUGUUCGUGGAUGUGAAAAUGCAGUGAAGCCUCCUCUUACAUAGACGGAUAUUCAUAUGUACAUCCAGCUGCUUGUGAAAAUGCACCAGGAGUUCCUCCAACCUGUCUCAAGGGGCAAUAUUCCUAUUUUCUGGUAGUAGACGUGAGGAGGAGAUAUUCCAAACUUGUGCAACGGGACGUGGUUGCUCCGGUUUCUGGUUUAUAAAUACGCAGAACAUUUCCUUCUCGGACAUCCACAAUGGGUUGGCUCAUGGAUUUGAGCUUCAGUGGUCCACGUACGGAAUUCGCCACAAAAAUUGCAUUCGGCAUACAAAAUGCUUCGAUGAUUCUCAAAAUCUCGCUGCCAUUUGCGUAAUCUAUCGUGACCCUUUAUCCUACGGAUUACUGGGUAUGGAUUUGAAGAGGUUGCGUAUUCAGACUUUCUGAUCCUUAAGGGGCCGUUGCUACCGGAUUAAAGGCGGAGGAUAAUUUUUUUCACUCGGGAUAAUUUUUUUUUCCUUGGUCGUUUGGCUCCGGAUAUAUGAGGCGGAUAAUUUCUGCCCCCGAUAAUUUAUGGCCGAAUUAGGUAGAUUAGGUGAAUAAUUUUUUUGAGUGCCUAAACCCUAACUAAAAGUUUUAUCCGGGGGACAAAGGGGUGGGGAUAAGGAAAAAAAUAUCUAAAGAGAAUAAAAUGUAUAAUUUAUAUAUAUAUCUAUAAUUUAUAUAUAUAUUAAUAAGAAAUAAAAUAUAUAUUUUUAAUAUCUAAAUUUUAUUUUUGUUUUUUCUAUAUUUUUUUUUUCUAUCCUCCACCCUUAUCCACCCAUUCUAAAAAGUAUCCAAACAAAUUUAAAAGUUAUCCCCUCUAAAAUUUAGCCCUCUCCCAUAUCCCUCCAUCAAAAGGAACCUAAAUUAAAACUCACCUUGAACUUUGGACUUUAUAGGCCUUCUAAUUAGACUUCCUCUUUCCCAAUUCAGAUGGUACAAAGGAAUUAUAAUGUGUGUAUGGACCACGUAACAGUUUUUAGUAGCCUCGUUAUAGUAAGUACUAUAAUUCUAUUAAGACGCGUAACUUCAUGAACCCUCCCGCUGAAGGUUAUGAUAAAAACAGGAAUCCUCCCUGAGAUUUAAAAAAAUUACACUUCCUCCCCUGUCAGACUUUAUUUGUCAUUAUGGCAAUCAAAUUACUAUUUUUUUGUUUGUUUUUUUUUUUUUUUUUUUUUUUUUUUUUUAUUUUUUUUUUACCCCUCCUCACUCACUCAGAGCCAUACCCACUCCACUCCCCACCACCCACUCCCCACCCCCCCCCCACCCUAUUCUUGGUUUUUCAAUUUUUUUAAAAAUCUUUUUUAUUAUUUUUUUUUAAAUCUAAUUUAAUUUCCUUUUUUAUCAAUUUUUAUUUUUCUCUGGGCUACAUAAUUUUUUAUUAUUGUUUUUUGUUUUGUUUCUUUUUUUCAUUAAUUUUAUUUUUAUUUUUAUUUUUUUAAUAAAAAAAUAGUGUUAUUACAUAAUAAACAAAAUUAAAUAAAAAAACUAUUUUUUUAUUUAUUUUUUACUAAUUUUUUUAAUUUUUAUAUAUAUUUCUUUCUUUAUUUUUUUUUUAGUUUUUAUUUAUUUUUCUUUUAUUCUUUUUUUUUUCCUUUUUUACAAAUUACUUUUUUUUAGUCCAUUAUCUACAAACUCAAAACCCUUCUUCCCCACCUCCCUCCUCCCCCCCUCCCCUCCUCUAUCCACCCUCCCCUUCCUCCCUCCCUCCCCCCUUCCCUUUCCCCCCCUCCUCCCUCCCCCCUCCUUUUUUCUUCCUUUUCUUUCUUCUUUCCUCCCCCUCUUUUUUCCUCCCCCCCUCCCCUCCCUUCCCUUCCCUUCCCCCCCUACCCCCCCCCCCCCCCUCUCUCCUCCCCCCCGCUUCUUUCUCCCCCCCUCCCCUUCCCCUUUCUCCCCCCUCUCCCUCCCUUCUCUAUCCCCCCUUUUCCCCCUUUCCCCCCCCCCCCUUUUUUUUUUUUUUUGGGCUGGGGGAGUUGAUUGAGAGGGGUAAAUAGUAAUUUGACUUGCCAUAAUGGCAAAUAAAGUUUGACAUGGGAGGAUGUGUAAUAUUUUUUAAAGGUAGGUUCCUGUUUUAUCAUAACCUCAGGGGAGGUCAGUAUAGCACAUACCCUUAUAUAAAUAGCCAAAGUGUCAAGCCUUAAGGGGACACAGAGAUGUGUUGGUUUGGGUUUAAGACACGAUACAAUCGAAUCAUCCUUCCUUGCAACUGAACCAACCCAAAUUCGAGUAACUCAUAUUAUCUUUAAAAGUGCAAGUGCUUGUUAUAAAACAAUUUUUAAAAAAAAUUGUGUAAAGUGAAAUUGUUAGUCUCAAUUUCAAUGCAAGUUCUUUUAAUGAUUAUAUAGAUCAAAGUUCAAUAUAAUAAAUGGUCACACCUAAUUAUAUGAAGACGUGCAUACUUUCAGCUAGCCUCAAGGUAACCGAAUAACGAAACAAGUCUUUUCUUUUUUUGUACAAGUCAGAGAACCAAAAACUACCUAUUUUGGAUUGAUAAUGUUUAGACCCUAAUCAAACCUUUGCCUUUAAGAGCAAACUGAAGUUCGUAUUACAUAGGUUCGGCAGGUUUUUCUCAAGUCAUUUGUCCACCCUAAUCAACUCACUCAAGUUAAUACUUGAAAGCAUAACUUCUUUCCCCUUCGCUUGUUGGUUAAGGAAAGAAGAUAAAUAUUUUUUGGAUAAGGUAAGUACUGAGUUGAGGUCUCCGUACUGAUACGGUCCAGUUAAUAACCUGUUGAGAAGUUGUUGGAUUCUAGUUGCAUUUUUUAUUUCCUUCCAAGAUGCCUUCAUCUCCUAUAGAAGAAUGUUAAUUAAAAGUUUCUUUGGGUUUAGUUGAUCUUCUCAUUACUUGUUUUUUUUUUCUUUAACUGAUUUAAUAAUAUAGCUGAAUCUACUUUUAUUUAUGUUGUAGAUUUUCUCUCAACCAGAACCAUUGGUAAGACCUCCCAUCUUAAUUUGUUUUAGUGAUAUUCAUCUUCUCAUUACUUGUUUUUGUUUUAUUUCCUUAACUGCAUCAAUUACAUAGCUGAAUCUACUUUCGUUUUCUUGUAGGUUCUUUGUUAAAUAUACCCUUAGGCAUUGGUAAGACCUCUCCUUUUAAUUUCCUCCCUUUCAACAUAGUGUGAUAUUAUUCUCAAUUCCAGUAUAACUAUAGUAAUUAUAUAAAUUACAACUACGUUUGAAUUUGAAAUUUAUCUCCUCGUUAUCUACGGCUGAAAUCAAUUGAGUUGAUCCAACGGCUCAUUUCAUUCACCACUCAAAUUUUUUGUUUUUUGCCCAAAAAUAUCACUUUCCUCUCCUCUCCUUCCAUCACUUUCACUUUCUCUCUCCUCAUAACUCUCACUUUCUCUCCUCUCAUCAAUUUCAUAUCAACCCUUUUAUACUUUUUUAAUACCCAUUUAUUCUUUUUUUUUUUACUUUCAUUUUUGAAUUUUUAUAAUAAUUUUUUUUUAUAAAAUUUUAUAACCCUUUUAAUUUCUUUUUUUGUUUUUAAUAUCCCUUGAUUCUUUUGUUGUUUAUUUUUACUUUCAUUUUCAAUUUUUAUAUAACAAAACUAUGAUAAUUUUUAUAAUUUUUUUACUCUACCUUAUUUUUUUUAAAAGAAAAAAUAUGAAUCAAGAUUUUUAAAUAUUAAUUUUUAAAAUUUUCGGUGGGUAGUAGUUAUAUGUUAUUUGUUAUUUUCAGCCUUUUUUUUAACAUCCCUGAUUCUUUUUUUUUACUUUCACUUCUUGAAUUUUUAUAUUAAAAAAUAAUAAUUUCUUUUGGAGGAGAUAUUGAUAGAAAUUAUGUUCUUAUGUAUGUGGCAUUUACGCCUGUAUUAAUACGUUAAAAAAUAUUAUUUUUCUAUGUAUGUUUUAUGAAUAAAUUCAAACUACUAAAAAAUGCAUUAUUAUUUUUCAAGUAUAUCCUCAAAUAACGAAUAACAUAAACUAUCAAACCCAUCGAAAUUUAAAAAAAAUGUUAAAAAUUUUGAUCCAUUUUUUUUUUUUAAAUAAUAAAAACAUAGUUUGGGAGUAAAACUAUAUAAAAAUUUGGAAGUGAAGUAAAAAUAAAAAAUAAGAAUUAAGGGGUAUUAAAAAAAAAAUAAAAAAGAUUAUAAAUUUUAUCUAUUUUUUUAUAUAAAAAUUCGGAGUGAAAGUAAAAAAAAAAAAGGAAUUAAUAUUUCCAUUAACAAAAGAAUAAAUGGUAUUAAAAAAAAAAUAAAUAGUUUUGAUUGCAAAUUGUAAGUUUGAGAGAAUUUAGAGUAACAGUUAAAAAGUCAAAAAAAAAAGGUCACAUUGAGGGGGUGAGGUUGUAGGGGUGAAAAUCAGCUCUCUUAUGUUAGUUUUAGAUUUAGAUUAGUUAGUUUUAAUGAGAAAGUAACUGAGAGAUCCUUAUUGUGAUCAAUUUUUCUUUUUUAUUUUUAUUUUUAUAAUUUGUUUUCUUUCUUCUUUCGAUGAAAAUCACAAUUGAUGAAUAUUUUUUUUUUUUUUGCGUGCACGGAUAAUUCUAGUAGUCAUUAAUAAGUACAAAGCUCACCAGCAAAUAAAUGGUCCCAGCUAGAGAAAGUUUUUACUUUUUUUUUGGUUAAAGGAAAGAAAAAGGGGAAAAAUGGGGUGGAUAGUCUGAUCUCAUUGUCCUACUCGAAGGUUGUAACAUAAUAUCUUCAGAAUGGGUUGGACAUCCAGUUGGAUUUCUUAUUUAGGCCUUCGGUAAGACUAAUUGAAUGCUUCUUUAAGUUUGGUUGAUCUUCUCACUACUUUUUUUUUUGUAUUUUUUUCUUUAACUGCUUUAAUCGUAUGACUGAAGCUUCUUUCAUUUGUCUUACAGGUUAUUUCUUAAUAGUGCUAGGUAAGACCAAUUAUCUCAAUUUCUCCUCUUCCAAUAAUCAAUUAUGAAAAUUAUAAUAUGAAGGAACGAAAUAUAAUGCAACGAUGGGUAAAGAAAAAUAUGGAUUUUGAACCACAAUAUUCGCUCCAUCCUAAUAUAUUUGUCCAUCUUUUCAAUUUGAAAUGUCCCAAGAUAUAUGUUCACUUCGAAAAAUCAAAGCAUAAAACUUGUUAGUAUUUCUAAACUAUACCUUAUAAGUGGUUGUAGAGAUAUAGGGGAAAUUCUUGGAAAUUACUACUUUUAGAUUUGUUUUUGCAAAUGCAUGUUCUUGCAAAAGGUUGUAACUCUGUAAAGGGACAAAUAAAUUGAGAAUGGAGGGAGUAUCUUGCAAAUUUGGUGAUAGCUCUAGGGCAAAUUUUUUUCCCCUCUUCUUAUUGGUUAAUCUGUGAUCUUUUCAUAUGCAGGUUGAUCCUUGUAAUAAUAGUUAUGCAACACCAGUGUGUGGUGGGUUUGUUAAAAUCUAUAAGUUUAGAAGAAGACAUUUAUCCAUGUUUGAUAGCAUCGAAGGUUUCCUACGAAGCCAAAUAACCUCAUGCCAUUAGCUACUCUUUACUCUUACUCAGACAUUAAAGAAAAUGACCAAAGGUUUCACGGACAGUUGGGCGAAGGAGGCUAACGGUUCUGUAUAUCAAGGAAAGCUUAGAAGUGGCCGUCUUGUAGCAUUAAAGGUAUUGGGCAAGCCCAAGCCAUGGGCAAGAAUUCAUCAAUGAAGUUUGCCUACCAAUAGGAAGGAAUUCAUCACACUAAUGUGUUCAACUAGUUGGAUAUUUGUGCUUAGAGAUCUAAGCGUGCCCUUUUUAACGACUUCAUGCCUAAGGUGGGGUCUCUUGAAAAGUACAUUGUUUCUCAAGAAGGAACUAUCUCCUUGAGUGCGAGCCAUGUCUGGAGAAAUCUCUCUUGGAUGGCUCGCGGGAUUGAUAUUUGCAUCG
rnacentral:lncRNA from 1 species